UACGGGGGGAGCAAGCGUUGUUCGGAUUUACUGGGCGUAAAGGGCGCGUAGGCGGCCACCGCAAGUCAGUGGUGAAAGCUCUGGGCUUAACCCAGAAAGGUCAGCUGAUACUGCGGGGCUAGAGUGCAGAAGGGGCAACUGGAAUUCUCGGUGUGGCGGUGAAAUGCGUAGAUAUCGAGAGGAACACCUGCGGCGAAGGCGGGUUGCUGGGCUGACACUGACGCUGACAGCGCGAAAGCUAGGGGAGCGAACGGG
rnacentral:rRNA from 1 species